rnacentral:rRNA from 1 species
CCUACGGGGGGCUGCAGUGGGGAAUAUUGGACAAUGGGGGGAACCCUGAUCCAGCCAUGCCGCGUGUGUGAAGAAGGCCCUCGGGUUGUAAAGCACUUUCAGUGAGGAAGAACGCCUGGUGGUUAAUACCCAUCAGGAAAGACAUCACUCACAGAAGAAGCACCGGCUAACUCCGUGCCAGCAGCCGCGGUAAUACGGAGGGUGCGAGCGUUAAUCGGAAUUACUGGGCGUAAAGCGCGCGUAGGUGGCUUGAUAAGCCGGUUGUGAAAGCCCCGGGCUCAACCUGGGAACGGCAUCCGGAACCGUCAAGCUAGAGUGCAGGAGAGGAAGGUAGAAUUCCCGGUGUAGCGGUGAAAUGCGUAGAGAUCGGGAGGAAUACCAGUGGCGAAGGCGGCCUUCUGGACUGACACUGACACUGAGGUGCGAAAGCGUGGGUAGCAAACAGGAUUAGAUACCCGUGUAGUC